GCUACUUCUGCUGACUGUCGGCUGCCUGCAAUUUGGCAGUUCGAAUCUCACCAGGCUCAAAAUUGAUUCAGCCUUCCAUCUUUCCGAGGAUUGGGACCAUCUCCAGAAAGGCAAUGAAAUGCCAUUACAAGUCACAUGAAAGUUUUUUAAACGUAAAAGUGGACAGUGCCAGGAGAGGACUGCUGAUGAUGGUGAGGGCAGAAGUUCUGGAAGAAAACAAGCUGGCCACCAAAGAGAGUGUCAAAGGCUCA